GGCCGUGACUAUACCAUGUUGGGAACACCGGUUCUCGUUUGGUCAACGAAGUUAAACAACGUUGAUCCCGGUUAAUAUCUGUAUGGGCGACCGGCUGGGAAUACAAAGUGUUGCGGCCG
rnacentral:rRNA from 1 species